CCUACGGGGGGCAGCAGUGGGGAAUAUUGGACAAUGGGGGGAACCCUGAUCCAGCCAUGCCGCGUGUGUGAAGAAGGCCCUCGGGGUGUAAAGCACUUUCAGUGAGGAAGAACGCCUGGUGGUUAAUACCCAUCAGGAAAGACAUCACUCACAGAAGAAGCACCGGCUAACUCCGUGCCAGCAGCCGCGGUAAUACGGAGGGUGCGAGCGUUAAUCGGAAUUACUGGGCGUAAAGCGCGCGUAGGUGGCUUGAUAAGCCGGUUGUGAAAGCCCCGGGCUCAACCUGGGAACGGCAUCCGGAACUGUCAAGCUAGGGUGCAGGAGAGGAAGGUAGAAUUCCGGGUGUAGCGGUGAAAUGCGUAGAGAUCGGGAGGAAUACCAGUGGCGAAGGAGGCCUUCUGGACUGACACUGCCACUGAGGUGCGAAAGCGUGGGUAGCAAACAGGAUUAGAUACCCUAGUAGUC
rnacentral:rRNA from 1 species